GCCACAUUCCUUCCCGACAUCAGAAGCAGCUGGUCCAGAUAAAGACCGCUGGGGUUUUGAUAUUUAGGAAUCACGUCCACGGAAGAGCUGGAGUUGAGACUUGAUUGCUUCAUGGACAAAUUCCCUGCAGGUAUCUUUAACCUGGACUCUUUUGAAAAAUGCCUAGUAGGUUUGCAGUUCACUGGGCUUUACACUUUUCCUGCUCAGACUUGUUGGGUGGGUGGGUGGGUGGAGGUGCUGAGGAAGAGGAGAAAGACAAAGGAGCAAAUAGCUCCAAGGACAAAGCAGGGAAUAAUAGGAACGGGCAAAUGGAUUCCAAUAAAAUAAAGAACCCGCACACAUUCUUGUGCCCAGUUUUAGAACCAAACAGGCUAAGACAUUUUCCUCCUAAGAGCUCAACUUCGUGUGUUGAAAAAUAGGUGGAUGGAUAAAUAUCUCUGUAUAUUUCACCUGCAUU
rnacentral:lncRNA from 1 species